GGAAUAGCCAAGUGGUAAGGCAACGGACUUUGACUCCGUGAUGCGCAGGUUCGAAUCCUGCUUCC
rnacentral:tRNA from 1 species